GCCUUCGUGGUGUAGUGGUCAGCACGCUCGACGCGUAUUCGAGAGGUCCGUGGUUCGAUUCCCGGCGAAUGCG
rnacentral:tRNA from 1 species